AAGGAUAAUAUACGGAAUAUCACCUUUAGGUGAUAAGCGGAUUAACGUGACAUAUUGUAUUCAGUUUUGAAUGCUCAUUAUUUGAGGAUUCAAAAUUAAAAUUUGAAUUGAAAACGCUUGUCAGUCAAUGAAUCAUGAACAAGAGCGAGUGCGCUUACUAUGGGUAAGUAAUCGAGCGAUUGUGAAAUGAUGAAGCAGAAUGCGAGCGAUUGCCAAUCAAAUUGUCUUGUACAUUGAAAACUAGAUAAGUAAGUAUAAAUGAUUUUACCAAGCAAAAACCGAGUGAAUAGCGAAAGCUUGAAACUAAAAAUUAUCGCUAGUCGUCAAAUGACGACUCACAUAAUUAAUAACUGGUGGAUGUUGGUGUCGUGUAAACGAUUGCCAAAAUCACAAUA
rnacentral:misc_RNA from 1 species